GAUGAACGCUGGCGGCGUGCCUAAUACAUGCAAGUCGAGCGAACAGACGAGGAGCUUGCUCCUCUGACGUUAGCGGCGGACGGGUGAGUAACACGUGGAUAACCUACCUAUAAGACUGGGAUAACUUCGGGAAACCGGAGCUAAUACCGGAUAAUAUAUUGAACCGCAUGGUUCAAUAGUGAAAGACGGUUUUGCUGUCACUUAUAGAUGGAUCCGCGCCGCAUUAGCUAGUUGGUAAGGUAACGGCUUACCAAGGCAUCGAUGCGUAGCCGACCUGAGAGGGUGAUCGGCCACACUGGAACUGAGACACGGUCCAGACUCCUACGGGAGGCAGCAGUAGGGAAUCUUCCGCAAUGGGCGAAAGCUUGACGGAGCAACGCCGCGUGAGUGAUGAAGGUCUUCGGAUCGUAAAACUCUGUUAUUAGGGAAGAACAAAUGUGUAAGUAACUAUGCACGUCUUGACGGUACCUAAUCAGAAAGCCACGGCUAACUACGUG
rnacentral:rRNA from 1 species